GCAGAAAGUGGACACAACAAGCAGAGCAGUGCUGGACAUUAUGACCAAAACUACAGAAUACCUACAACCCAACCCAGCCUCCAGAGCGAAGCUCAGUAUGAUAAACACGAUGUCUAAGAUCCGUGGGCAGGAGAAGGGGCCAGGAUACCCUCAGACUGAGAGUUUGCUGGGAGACACCAUGCAGAGAUACGGACGGGACCUCGGAGAGGAGGCCAGCUUUGAUGCCUGUGUCCAAUACUCAGGGCUCAGUGAAUUAACUCUGCCAACCACCAAGGAGGUCAUCAGCCCCCGUUCCCAAUCCACCGUCUCCCAUCAGCGGGAGUCGGCAGCAGUUCGAACGGCACUGGGCUGGACGGCAACAAAUUCAGCACCGCAGACAACACAUCCUGUUUUCAUGCCCUCCUGAUCCUCUCCCUUAACUUAAGAUGAGGAAACAGCCUCUGCCUCCUCCAAAUUAUGCCAAUCGGCAGUUCUCACUCCUUCAGUUCCCAGUCUGCACCCUUAAGACCCAAAACCCGACUACACGGCUCUGAGGACGAGGUCUGAAUCCCACCUGUGCAGGAUGUUUUAACAGGGGUUCUGCUUACCUUUGGUAGUGCGCGUGUGGACUCUGCCCUCGGUCACAGAACAGUGGAGCUUUGGCUCGUCCGGCAGCUGGUGCUUUGUCCUGCGCACGGCGUGGGUCCGUUACCAAUCGAUCCAAUUGUUCCAUGUACGGGCCACCGAUUAAUGUUGUUCGUAGAUCUUCCUAAAUUCAAGACUGUUUACUCAGUGCACACUAAACAGAAAUAAAGAUGCAGACUCUGGAAUUAAUUGAAGAGAAGAGCCGGUCCCGUCUUUAUUCUGAGCUCAGUGUUACAAGCGAGGCGUUGUAUGGAGAAUGUCUAACAGUCUCAGGCAAUCAUAUUCUAUAUCACCGGCUGCCCAUAUUGGUUCUUCUGGUGUUGCCCAUAUUGUUUCUUCCAGUGCUUGGCCGGAUGUCCCGUCCUUGAACCAAGGCUCCCCCUCAACUGAGGCCCCUAGAGGCCUGUCAAAGAGGCCUCCUGAGGAU